UGCAAUUUUUCUGUGGCCUGUCUUCUCGUCUGGUUUGGGUCUGUUGCCCGUCUGAGCGGCACAGGCACUCAUCUCCACUAGAACCCUCGACAGUCACUUACCCUCGUGGGCCUCUAAUGGAUCUUGCUAUUGAUUGUUCAUGCUUCUUCACCGAUGGGUUGAAUCGUCAGAGUUUUUGGAUAGAAGUCGGCUUGUAGAUCUCGAUACUGUGGAUAGUACCAGACUGUGGCGAUCUGUAACAAUUCGUAGCGUAGUGAUUGGUCGGGGUUGUGUUUUUGCUGGUCUCUCUGUCCACCACGGCGUGUGGGUUAAGCUAGGAUGGGUACGUGCUCGUCCUGAAGGUGCGACGAUAUCAGGACUUGUUGAACUGGGACAGUAAGAGUUGGUUAGCACGAUGAGAAAAGCAGCGUCUCUAGUUUGUGAGUUGUGAGAUGUUGGAAUCACGCAGCUUCAGUUGUUUCGGACCAUCCCUACAUUUUUAGACCAGGUUCACGAUGCAUUUGUGAUGCCCUUGGUCCACACUUCUCGUUCAUAAUAGUCUAGAUAUGGCAAUAAUCGGUACUGAAAUUGCGACUUGGUUAGAAUCCCUGUAAGUGAAGAUCCUCUAAGUUUUACACUGAAACAGAUGGUAGCAGCUGGAACAGCCACCGCUGCUGCGAGUCACUUCUCACCGAAUUUCAAUAGUUGAGAUGUAACCGCAAAUGUAAUGGAGAUAAUCAGAAGGGGUUGAGCAUUUGGUUCCCUGCAGAGUAUGUUCCCAGAUCUCUUGCGUUACUGAUACUACGUGGGGGACGAGUAGCUUGGAACUGCAGCCACGUAUAUAAUUCUCUCAUUUCAUGUCCAAGAGGGACAUAUGCCGCAGAAGUUUAUGCGAAUUGAGCUCAUUGCGCAGAAGCACGGAGGGAUUGUCAUCGCACUGGGUUUAAACUCACUUAAUCUUGAAGACGAUCAGCCGUGCCUGAGGAACGUUGUAGGAGUGAUGUGAUCCAUACCACGUCGCCCUUAAUUAGUUGUCUAAAAUCUCUGAAUCAGUAUCCAGACCAGUGGAAGUUAAGCAGAGUACACUUACUUCGUGAUUUCUCUAUGACGAGCUUGCUCAGGUUCGCCGGGUGCUUGAUGUAAGAGUUGUGAUCAUGGUGGGAGUUAAAUUUUAAUCUGCAGACCUUCGAGAACAUUUCAGGCGCGGGAAAGAACUACCUUCGACUACUCGUUGAUUUCGCAGCGGCCAUCACGAAUGGAAACCCAGGACUCCAGGACUUCGGAGCCUCGAACAAGUAACUACAAAGGAUAAAAGUACACUGCCACAUUGUUGCGGAAUGAUGCUGUUCGACAAAAUAGGAGUGAAAAUAGCUCCACAGUGGAGCUAUGUCGAACGCUUUUGUUCCUCUUGCAUUUGAAGCAACUCGAAUGUCUUUGGUACUGGUAUCAAGGUCCCAUGUCGGGAGCAGCAAUCACAGGGCGCUUCGCAGGUUUUGCCUGGCCACAGCUGCUUAGGCCACUUCUUUUCAAUCUCCUCCAUAGCAUGAUGUAUAACUUCUUUCGCCUCAUCUUCACCCUGCAGGAUUUUUCGUUUUGGCGAGCUUAGUGUGUUUCUAAACAUUAAUGCAUCCCGCAAGGUCUAAAAAGAUUGAAAAGGACAUUGAACAUUAAAUCGAAUAACAGUAAAAUUCACCUUUGCAGCCUCAGCAAGUGGACCCCAACAUUCCAGGCGGUUGUACUCAUUGACAUUGGAGUGGAAGUACACCCACACUAAAGAGUUAUCAAGAUCUGCAAGAAUGCAUUAUUUAAGGUAAGAUAUUCAGGUAUGUUAUUCCUGGUUUCUCUCGAUGUGAUAGCACACACCCCUGAGCUCGUACCGGUGGACUGUAGAUGGAAAAAAUUCACAACCUAUGUUCGUGCAUGGAACCAAUUGGGGAACGCCUUUGAAACGAAUUCAGGAUUUAGAGUCUUCACGUGGCUUUAAAUGUCCAUGGGAUAUCUUCAUUCAGGUAUUAGAGCAUGAUUUUUCUACCUGGCCAGUAGCAACAUGCAAAAUAGCAAGCUCUGGUAGGUUGGGACAUGAGGGAGAAUCAUUGUAAGCAGCGAAUCGCUGAGGGAAUUUACCUGGGUAUUCCUUUAAAAGUUCUUCAUCACCA